CAGUCGCCACGGGAAUACGGAGGGUGCAAGCGUUAAUCGGAAUUACUGGGCGUAAAGCGCACGCAGGCGGUUUGUUAAGUCAGAUGUGAAAUCCCCGAGCUUAACUUGGGAACUGCAUUUGAAACUGGCAAGCUAGAGUCUUGUAGAGGGGGGUAGAAUUCCAGGUGUAGCGGUGAAAUGCGUAGAGAUCUGGAGGAAUACCGGUGGCGAAGGCGGCCCCCUGGACAAAGACUGACGCUCAGGUGCGAAAGCGUGGGGAGCAAACAGGAUUAGAUACCCCUGUAGUCCCUGUCUCUUAUAC
rnacentral:rRNA from 1 species